rnacentral:rRNA from 1 species
GACGAACGCUGGCGGCGUGCCUAAUACAUGCAAGUUGAGCGCUGAAGGUUGGUACUUGUACCAACUGGAUGAGCAGCGAACGGGUGAGUAACGCGUGGGGGAUCUGCCUUUGAGCGGGGGACAACAUUUGGAAACGAAUGCUAAUACCGCAUAAAAACUUUAAACACAAGUUUUAAGUUUGAAAGAUGCAAUUGCAUCACUCAAAGAUGAUCCCGCGUUGUAUUAGCUAGUUGGUGAGGUAAAGGCUCACCAAGGCGAUGAUACAUAGCCGACCUGAGAGGGUGAUCGGCCACAUUGGGACUGAGACACGGCCCAAACUCCUACGGGAGGCAGCAGUAGGGAAUCUUCGGCAAUGGACGAAAGUCUGACCGAGCAACGCCGCGUGAGUGAAGAAGGGUUUCGGAUCGUAAAACUCUGUUGGUAGAGAAGAACGUUGGUGAGAGUGGAAAGCUCAUCAAGUGACGGUAACUACCCAGAAAGGGACGGCUAACUACGUG